AUUGAACGCUGGCGGCAGGCCUAACACAUGCCAGUCGAGCGGAUGAAGGGAGCUUGCUCCUGGAUUCAGCGGCGGACGGGUGAGUAAUGCCUAGGAAUCUGCCUGGUAGUGGGGGAUAACGUCCGGAAACGGGCGCUAAUACCGCAUACGUCCUGAGGGAGAAAGUGGGGGAUCUUCGGACCUCACGCUAUCAGAUAAGCCUAGGUCGGAUUAGCUAGUUGGUGGGGUAAAGGCCUACCAAGGCGACGAUCCGUAACUGGUCUGAGAGGAUGAUCAGUCACACUGGAACUGAGACACGGUCCAGACUCCUACGGGAGGCAGCAGUGGGGAAUAUUGGACAAUGGGCGAAAGCCUGAUCCAGCCAUGCCGCGUGUGUGAAGAAGGUCUUCGGAUUGUAAAGCACUUUAAGUUGGGAGGAAGGGCAGUAAGUUAAUACCUUGCUGUUUUGACGUUACCAACAGAAUAAGCACCGGCUAACUUCGUG
rnacentral:rRNA from 1 species